CCUCUUCUAGGUCAGUUGGUAGACCGCAAGGCUCUUAACCUUGUGGUCGUGUGUUCGAUCCCCACGGCGGGCG
rnacentral:tRNA from 1 species